rnacentral:rRNA from 1 species
AGAGUUUGAUCCUGGCUCAGGAUGAACGCUAGCGACAGGCCUAACACAUGCAAGUCGAGGGGCAGCGAAGAGGUAGCAAUACCUUUGUCGGCGACCGGCGCACGGGUGAGUAACACGUAUGCAAUCCACCUGUAACAGGGGGAUAACCCGGAGAAAUCCGGACUAAUACCCCAUAAUAUGGGCGCUCCGCAUGGAGAGCCCAUUAAAGAGAGCAAUUUUGGUUACAGACGAGCAUGCGCUCCAUUAGCCAGUUGGCGGGGUAACGGCCCACCAAAGCGACGAUGGAUAGGGGUUCUGAGAGGAAGGUCCCCCACAUUGGAACUGAGACACGGUCCAAACUCCUACGGGAGGCAGCAGUGAGGAAUAUUGGUCAAUGGACGAGAGUCUGAACCAGCCAAGUAGCGUGAAGGAUGACUGCCCUAUGGGUUGUAAACUUCUUUUAUACGGGAAUAAAGUGAGGCACGUGUGCCUUUUUGUAUGUACCGUAUGAAUAAGGAUCGGCUAACUCCGUGCCAGCAGCCGCGGUAAUACGGAGGAUCCGAGCGUUAUCCGGAUUUAUUGGGUUUAAAGGGAGCGUAGGCGGACGCUUAAGUCAGUUGUGAAAGUUUGCGGCUCAACCGUAAAAUUGCAGUUGAUACUGGGUGUCUUGAGUACAGUAGAGGCAGGCGGAAUUCGUGGUGUAGCGGUGAAAUGCUUAGAUAUCACGAAGAACUCCGAUUGCGAAGGCAGCUUGCUGGACUGUAACUGACGCUGAUGCUCGAAAGUGUGGGUAUCAAACAGGAUUAGAUACCCUGGUAGUCCACACAGUAAACGAUGAAUACUCGCUGUUUGCGAUAUACAGUAAGCGGCCAAGCGAAAGCGUUAAGUAUUCCACCUGGGGAGUACGCCGGCAACGGUGAAACUCAAAGGAAUUGACGGGGGCCCG